GCCCAGGUGGUGAAAUUGGUAGACGCGCUGGCUUCAGGUGCCAGUGUCCGCAAGGACGUGAAGGUUCGAGUCCUUUCCUGGGCACCA
rnacentral:tRNA from 3 species